GGAUAAUCGAAUAAUAAUCGAUCCCGAUCAACGCCACAUAUGCGAGGAUUGGAUCGACCAUCGAGAAUUAAGAAAAAUAAACGAUAAGCAUGAAGAAUAAACACGUUCGAACUUACAUCGCUUGCGGAGAGACCCUUCGAGAGUGAGAGGUCUUCAGUUUGACCGAGGGGAUAUCGAGCCAAAGUAAAGAAGAUUUCGGAAGAUUUUCGUUGGGAGACGAGAUUUCAUUAUUCUCGUUUUUCUCGUCGAGAUUAUUCGCUCUUCGUGAACUCUCUACUUCAAAUCUUGAAAAAAAUUUAUUGCGGUCAAGAGACAACUAAACCUCUCCAAGCAGGAUGGAAGGGGAGGAGGAACAGGAUCAAAGUUAUGUUAAUUCAUUAAUAACGACCUUACGCGGAUCUCGCGGUUUCGAAAUUGCGUAUAUAUAUGCAUAGACGUGAAUAAAUAUAUAAAUCAACAAAUAUUCAUGUAUAUACGCCCGAACGAUUCGUUAUUUUCAAUUACUGUUUUGCCAGCUCCCACUAUUAUCAUGGGGUUGGCAAUUUUUUCAACGUUUCCCGCGCCCGACUUCCGGCUACUAUUCGUUUCUUUAAAAAUUCGAAAAAAGAACACUAUGAUAGUCGAAAAAAAUGAAUAUUUUCCUUACAGGACAAAAAUAAAUCUGCAAUUCAAAUAAGUUUUUCUUAAAAUAAAAGUUAUCGGUCGCGAAAAUUGGACGAAGAUUCUAAAUCAGCAAUUUGCCUUUGUGACAUUAAAAAAUUUGAAUCAUUUCAUAAAAAAAAAAGGAAGUUAAAUUUCCCAAGGUGAUUUUUUUCUAUCCACAAAAAAUUGAUAUUCUCGAAAACGGAACUCGAUUUAGCCCCGCCGUCCUUAUUUGCAGCCGAAAGUCGUGCUUGCCCCACAAUAUUUCGUGAUUUCUACGCGUGUCAAAUAAGAGAAAAAAAGGUAUUGAAGUUUGCAGGAUUCGAAGACGACGAAAUUUUCGUUAUGAUUGUCUCUAUCGAUUGUUUUCCCAAAGAACAAUAAUCAUGUACAAAAUUGAAAAAGCAAUCUUAAGUAUUCACGUUCACAGAUCUAA